AAGUACAAUUUUAACCAGAUGCUCCGCAGGGCGUAGCUUUAUACGACCGCAGAGGUUGAACCCUGAACGGUUGGGGCAAGUAUGGACACAACAUUCAAGCUGGAUUCAGCUCUAAAUUUGGAUUGUGAUUAAAUAGUUGACACAGCAUAGGUUUCUGACACAGAAUGAAUGUGUUCUAAUGAACUUAAAAUUUUUGUUUUCUCUUAGAGCAAU
rnacentral:lncRNA from 1 species